GAUAAGGGAAUCCUAAGUGCUUAUACAUUAGUAUAGGCUUUUUCUAAGAGUAAAUACCUUAGCAGUAAUAAGUGAUGGGUAAGACUGGUGCCAGCAGCCGCGGUAACACCAGCGUCACAAGUGGCAACCACAUUUAUUUGGCCUAAAGCGUCCGUAGCAGGCCUUGAAAAUCUUCUGUGAAAUCGUUAAGCUCAACUUAACGGCGUGCAGGAGACACUCCAAGACUUGAGACCGGGAGAAGUUAGAGGUAUUUUAGGGGGAGCGGUAAAAUGUUAUAAUCCCUAAAGGACCACCUGUGGCGAAGGCGUCUAACUAGAACGGAUCUGACUGUGAGGGACGAAAGCCAGGGGAGCAAAGCGGAUUAGAUACCCGCGUAGUCCUGGCCGUAAACGCUGCGAGCUAGGUGUUACAUAUUCUCCGUGAGUAUGUAGUGUCGAAGCGAAGGUGUUAAGCUCGCCGCCUGGGAAGUAUGGUCGCAAGACUGAAACUUAA
rnacentral:rRNA from 1 species